CCUANGGGUGGCUGCAGUCGAGGAUCUUCGGCAAUGGGCGAAAGCCUGACCGAGCGACGCCGCGUGCGGGAUGAAGGCCUUCGGGUUGUAAACCGCUGUCAGUGGGGAGGAAAUUCUAGAGGGUACUCUCUCUAGUUUGACCUAUCCGCAGAGGAAGGACGGGCUAAGUUCGUGCCAGCAGCCGCGGUAAUACGAACCGUCCUAACGUUAUUCGGAUUUACUGGGCUUAAAGGGUGCGUAGGCGGCCCGGUAAGUUGGGUGUGAAAUCCCUCGGCUCAACCGAGGAAUGGCGCUCAAAACUGCCGGGCUUGAGGAAGAUAGAGGUGAGCGGAACUUAGGGUGGAGCGGUGAAAUGCGUUGAUAUCCUAAGGAACACCGGUGGCGAAAGCGGCUCACUGGGUCUUUACUGACGCUGAGGCACGAAAGCUAGGGUAGCGAACGGGAUUAGAUACCCCUNUANUC
rnacentral:rRNA from 1 species